GAAUCCGCGCCGCGCCCACGUGUGCGGCCGGGCCGCGCCCCGGUCCGAUCGAGUGUUUCUGCGUCCCCUCGUCCUGCCCCCCUUCCCCGAGUGGUACCGGGGGUCUCUUCCCCGUGCGGGUAGCUAUGGAGCAGGCGCUCAGGUCUCUCGCCCGCGGGGCCGUGGGGCUGCCGUCCGCCACCUGCAGCCGCUGCUUUGGGAAGGGCCCCGCGCGGGUCCGGCAGCCCUGGCGGUUCUGCACGGCUGCGGCGCGAGGCGGGGACCGAGCCCGCAUCUCCUGUGAAGGUCUGCGGGACUCAGGCUGGGGCUCAGCGAGACGCGAGGUCUCGAAGGGCGGGAGGAGGCCGGACGGAAGGGCUCUGUCCAUCGAGAGGACGAGGGGCAGCGAGAUCCUGUUCGGCGUAGCGCCGUGCUCCAUGGCACUGUCCCGGGCCAGGAGGGAUCUGUUCAGGCUGUUCCUCAAGCGGAACGGCGGCCCUCAGCGUGCGAUCAGCAGCGAGUUCGUGCUGCAGGCCGCGGCGCGCGGGGUUCCCGUGCUCUACGUCGGGAGGAGGGAGCUGGAUGCGUUGUGCGGGGGCCGCGUCCACCAGGGAGUGUGCUUGGAGGCCACUCCGCUCCGCUUCAAGAGGCUGGAGGAGGCCGAAGAGCCCGGUUUGGGGGAUGGAGAGAGCCCGAACCGGCAGCUGCUGUGGCUGGUGCUUGAGCAGAUCCAGGACCCCAUGAACCUGGGGGCACUGCUGCGCUCUGCGUAUUUCUUGGGGGCGGACAGAGUGGUGACGAGCCGGAGGAACAGCUGCCCCUUGACUCCAACAGUGAGCAAAGCAAGUUCUGGAGCUAUGGAAGUCUUUGAUGUCUACAGCACAGAUGAUCUCAGGAGCUUUUUGAAGGCUAAAGCUGCAGAAGGCUGGGAAGUUGUGGGAACAGUGAGCCAGUCUGAAACUGUGGAAAAUGUUCCUGUCAUCAGCUGCUUGGAGUUUCGGUGGAACAAACCCAUUAUUUUAGUGAUAGGUAGUGAAGGUGAUGGCCUUUCCCUGGAGACGCAGCUCCUGUGCCACCAGAUGCUGGUCAUCCCCUCUGGCAGGGCACUGCACCCAGGCAUCGAGUCACUGAACGUCUCCGUAGCCACUGGCAUUCUCCUGCACUCCAUCUGCAGCCAAAAGCUGAGGCACGGUGAUUGAUUUUUAUCCUGGCACAUGGUGGAAGUUGCCCAGCCAAGAUCUUUGAUGGCAAGAAACUGCUCAGUGUUCCAUGGCUGUGUUCAGUAUGGAUAUGGUAGUACUCCUUCCAGGCUCGGCACCAUCUCAGCAAGUUUCAGGUGCUUAAACAUGAGGAGACCCUUCAUUAAGGUUGCUUGUGUUUGGGAAAGCCUCGUGCCCUCUGCCCACGCUCAGCCACGGCUGCUCAUCCCCAACAGAUCCCAGGAAAUGCUCUUGACCAUCUGCUGCUGCUCUAAGAAACGAGUGUUUACCACCAGAAACGUGGGAGGUAUCUGGGAUAGAUCACAGCAGAGUGCAAGGGCAGAGUGCAGCCACUUAAGCAAAGCCGUGCCACAGUCACCAUGAGCCUGGAGUCGGAAGCUGCUCAGUCAGCAGCAGCCUCCUCCCGUGGCACCAGGAGGCUGCAGCCUGCAGUGAGCACAGCAAGACCUGGCGCAGUAGGGAAUACGUGGAUGGACACAGGGAUUUUGCUGUGGCCAAGCAGUAGGGACGACUGGUGUCAUGCACCUCAUCUUAAGGGACAGGGUACGGAAGAGCAAUGAAAUGGGCUGCAUGGGGAAGCUAGCAGUGGGCAAGGAAAAAUUCCUCAUGCUCAGCAGAUGUCAUCUAGAACCAACCCUGGAAUCAGCUCCUUGCUCAGUGCCCUCUGCCAUGGAGGCAGCAAAGCUGAGGGCUGCCUCACUGCAGUUCUGUGUAGGCAAUUUUGCUAUAAGUUCAUUUAGGUGAGCUGUCUUUAGUUCCUUGCUCCGCUCGCUGUAAUUGCUUCUUCAGAGUGAUGCUACACCGCAGGCGUGGGGCUGCUGCCUGGCCGGCCUUCCAUAGACAGACCAAGGAAGGUGAAGCUGAAGUCAUCAGCAGCUUCUGGAAACAUUCCCAGUCCUUGGCGUAUUCAUCAGGAUUGUUACAAUUCUGCUGCCACAAAGAGGGAAGUAUCUUGUUCUCCUGUUAUUUAUUAGCAUAUGCUGUAGUG